UUUCUAGGUGAUUUGGCAGAUCUGACAAUGAUUAUCAGCAAGCCUGAAGAGUCAAGAUGGACAAUGAAAACUAAGUUUGUCUGAAGGCAUGUGAGCCAGGCUUUGUUAUGCAGCAGAYGGCCCUGCUGUCCUCAGCAAAGGAAGAUGGCUAUUUCUACCUCUGAACCCUAAUAGAGAAAGACUUCAGCCAUGACUCUACAGAGGCUGGACAGCAGCCUAACACAUAAGGAAGGAUGUCCUCCAAAUCAUUCCAAGCCAACUCAUUAGUCUCCAAUUAUAAAUAUGAUAAAAGCAAAGACUGCCAGGUGAGAAAUAUUUCAUUCAUGUUAGGACAAUUUUUGUGCUUUUAUUGCUUUUUCUUGUCUUCCUCAGGGUCGUUAGGUAGAACUCUGCAGUGAUAAUCAUAAAUAUUGUUUCUUAUUGAUGUCAAAGUUCACAAUACAAUGGUGUAUCUGCAGUCUU